CCAGUAUGAAGAAUCUUACAAAAUUAUUAGCGGACUUUCUACAUCGUGUUCCAAUGGAACGCUUAAAUGGAGCAGAGACUGGAGGUUAUUACUAGAAGGAUUAGUUCAAGUUCAUAUUAUCAGCAGUAGGAAUAAAAAUAUGUUGGUACCGAGUAGGAUACAGAAACUCGUCAUCGACAUGGAAAAAUUAACAGAAAAAAUCAAAGGAAACUAUGCUUUACCGAUGAAGUUUGAAAAACGGGCAAACGUAAUUGCUUGCCCCGGAAUUGCAAUGAGUGGAAUCCAAUUUAAAUAAAUAAUAUUUAAAAACAGGAAUUGGAAAAUUGUCGCGGAUGAACUUCGGUUUAUCCAGAAUAUCAAUAAAACAAAGAUGGAUAUCGACGACGU
rnacentral:lncRNA from 1 species